rnacentral:rRNA from 1 species
AGAACUAGGUGUUGGGGGAAUAACUCAGUGCCGCAGUUAACGCAGUAAGUUCUCCGCCUGGGGAGUAUGCACGCAAGUGUGAAACUCAAAGGAAUUGACGGGGGCCCGCACAAGCGGUGGAGUAUGUGGUUUAAUUCGAAGCAACGCGAAGAACCUUACCAGGCCUUGACAUCCCCUGCAAAGACAUGGAGACAUGUUGGAGGGUAUCAGGGAGACAGGUGGUGCAUGGUUGUCGUCAGCUCGUGUCGUGAGAUGUUGGGUUAAGUCCCGCAACGAGCGCAACCCCUGUGAUAUGUUACCAGUAUCAAGUUAGGGACUCAUAUCAGACUGCCGGUGACAAACCGGAGGAAGGUGGGGAUGACGUCAAAUCAUCAUGCCCCUUAUGGCCUGGGCUACACACGUACUACAAUGGCAUCUACAAAGAGCAGCGGCACUGUGAAGUGGAGCAAAUCUCAUAAAGGAUGUCUCAGUUCGGAUUGAAGUCUGCAACCCGACUUCAUGAAGUUGGAAUCGCUAGUAAUCGCGGAUCAGCAUGCCGCGGUGAAUACGUUCUCGGGCCUUGUACACACCGCCCGUCAAACCAU